UAACACGUGGGUAACCUGCCUCGAUGAUUGGGACAACCCGACGAAAGUCGGGCUAAUACCAAAUGUGCUUUUCACCCUCAAGGGUGAUUCGGAAAGGAAGCUUCGGCCUCCGCAUCGAGAUGGGCCCGCGGCGCAUUAGCUUGUUGGUGGGGUAACGGCCUACCAAGGCGACGAUGCGUAGCUGGUCUGAGAGGACGAUCAGCCACACUGGAACUGAGACACGGUCCAG
rnacentral:rRNA from 1 species